GGGCAAUUAGCUCAGCUGGUUCAGAGCGUUCGCCUCACACGCGAGAGGUCACUGGUUCGAGCCCAGUAUUGCCCA
rnacentral:tRNA from 2 species